rnacentral:rRNA from 1 species
GAUGAACGCUGGCGGCGUGCCUAAUACAUGCAAGUCGAGCGAACAGACGAGGAGCUUGCUCCUCUGACGUUAGCGGCGGACGGGUGAGUAACACGUGGAUAACCUACCUAUAAGACUGGGAUAACUUCGGGAAACCGGAGCUAAUACCGGAUAAUAUAUUGAACCGCAUGGUUCAAUAGUGAAAGACGGUUUUGCUGUCACUUAUAGAUGGAUCCGCGCCGCAUUAGCUAGUUGGUAAGGUAACGGCUUACCAAGGCAACGAUGCGUAGCCGACCUGAGAGGGUGAUCGGCCACACUGGAACUGAGACACGGUCCAGCCUCCUACGGGAGGCAGCAGUAGGGAAUCUUCCGCAAUGGGCGAAAGCCUGACGGAGCAACGCCGCGUGAGUGAUGAAGGUCUUCGGAUCGUAAAAAUCUGUUAUUAGGGAAGAACAAAUGUGUAAGUAACUAUGCACGUCUUGACGGUACCUAAUCAGAAAGCCACGGCUAACUACGUG